UACGUAGGGUGCGAGCGUUGUCCGGAAUUAUUGGGCGUAAAGAGCUUGUAGGCGGUUUGUCGCGUCUGCUGUGAAAAUCCGGGGCUCAACCCCGGACUUGCAGUGGGUACGGGCAGACUAGAGUGUGGUAGGGGAGACUGGAAUUCCUGGUGUAGCGGUGAAAUGCGCAGAUAUCAGGAGGAACACCGGUGGCGAAGGCGGGUCUCUGGGCCAUUACUGACGCUGAGGUGCGAAAGCGUGGGGAGCAAACAGG
rnacentral:rRNA from 1 species